GGGGUCAUGGCUCAGUGGUAGAGCAUUCGCUUGUCAAGCCGGAGGUCCCAGGUUCAAUCCCUGGCGUCUUCA